UUUCUGCAGCACGACUGCAGGGCUGCAAUGGUUGAACUGGAACUACAAUGUCCCUGUCACAUGCCCAGGGCUCGGCCCCUGUGAUGACUUAGGAUCCUGCAGGCCUUGGGGGAAAGGCUAUCAGCCCUUUUCUUUCUCUUUCUUAGAUCCGGUCACUUGAUGGGGAAAUGGCUUCUUCUCGGCCUUAUGAAAUAGAGGGUUGUUUUGCAACCACAAACCCACAAGUUUGCUGGCUCAACAGAAAGAAAUAGGAGAAGGAACAGCAAACCUGGAGGUUUGGGUGCACCCCACAGGAUUGGUCCCACUCCUCAUCCAUCCACAUCCCCCAGUCCCACACUGCAGCAGCCAAAGGUCCUUACUCCAGACAGCUGCUCCCUUCCACCCCAUACCUGGAGCCAGGUGCACCUCAACUGCAUCUUCUCUGGGUGAUGUAGCUCCCUUUGGCAAUAAUGAGGGGCAAAUGAAACCGGGCAAGUGCACGUGGGAGAAGGGAACAAAUGGAUUCUGGCACUGGGGCUGUGUGGGACCUGGGGUAGCUUGUCCAGGGUCCUUCUCUGAAGGUGGCAGUGUUUGUAGCUCCCUGCCCUCCCGUGAGCUGCAGGCAGCACAUCCUGUCCCCUCUGUGUCUGCAACCUCUGCCACAACUGGGCCCUGCAGGAAAAACGGGGAAGGCUCAGGGCUGGGUAGGGGUGGGGGUUGUAUGGGUGUAAAUCAGGGGAAAAAGGCAAAGCUGGACUUCUUCCAGACCCUUUUCUACCCUUUUCUUUCUUCACCCUUCUAACCUUUAUGGUCUCCCUUGGAUAUUCCAUGGGCAAGAAGUUUUGGCAGCAGGGUGCCCUAAGGCCUUUUCCUGUUCUGGGCACCUCCUCUGGCCCUCUCUCCUGUCUAACCUCCCCCAGCCUCAGCUGAUUUUAGCACUGAUGCCUUAGUAUUUUAGCUUUUAUAUUUUUCAUAUAUUUGUAAGCCUACACUUGUUUAGUGUGUAACCCUAAACUCCAUAUAGAUUGCUAGCUACUGCUUUCCUAUUUUAGUCAGAUAAAACAAUUCCUCUCCAGGCCUGGGAAUCAAGGACACCUCACUAUCUCAGACCCCAAGAAAUGUGAACAAAAGUGAAUUGUUGUGGAGGGGGGGGUGGUGGUACAAGUUUGGGGUUAAUUACUUCAUUAGCUGAAGCUGUAAUUGGAAGAUUAACCCCCAAUAUGCAAAUGGACCAAACUUAUAAAAGUUACAAAAGUCUGAAAACCCAUGAAAGUCCAUUUUGGGUGUAGCUCCUGGGGCACUGAGCCUGAAAUGUACCUGAAGGUCCUUCAAUAAAUAGAACUGUUUAUUAUUC